UGAGUAAUACAUCGGAACGUGUCUUCUAGUGGGGGAUAACUGCCCGAAAGGGCAGCUAAUACCGCAUGAGACCUGAGGGUGAAAGCGGGGGGUCGCAAGACCUCGCGCUGGAAGAGCGGCCGAUGUCCGAUUAGCUAGUUGGUGAGGUAAAGGCUCACCAAGGCGACGAUCGGUAGCUGGUCUGAGAGGACGACCAGCCACACUGGGACUGAGACACGGCCCAG
rnacentral:rRNA from 1 species